rnacentral:hammerhead_ribozyme from 1 species
GUGCUGACGAAGAGUCCCAAACUAGGACGAAACAGCUGUCCAGUAU